ACUUAUUUCAAGUUGCUGAUAUAAAAAGUAGAGGUUUUCAGCAAAGUCCUGCAGGAAGAAGAGAAGACAUAACUUAGGCUGUUUCCUCCACCAAAAUACGGGGUUACCCCUCAUUUACGUAGAAGAAAUUUGCAAGAAAAAUCUGGGUAAGUACAGUAUCUGUUAUUAAUAUUAUUAUUACUAUCUAUUACAGCGUGUUAUUGACUAGAAAGGAAUCUACUUCUCACUUAGAAAGUGAAGUAUACUCCAAAAAAUAAUAAUAUUUUAAGGCUAGACUGUUCACCGCUAUGACAGGAAUCUGCCUUCUGUAAUUUGAAAAAGAAGUCAUAACAUUUCAUAAACGAUGCAGUUGAAAACUAGAGGCACUUUUAUUGGUGAAAUCCCCCAAGGCAUUAGCAGCAGCA
rnacentral:lncRNA from 1 species